rnacentral:rRNA from 1 species
AGUGAACGCUGGCGGCAGGCCUAACACAUGCAAGUCGAACGGCAGCACAGUAAUCGCUUGCUCUUCCGGGGGGCGAGGGGCGGGUGGGUGAGGAAUACAUCGGACUCUACUUUGUCGUGGGGGAUAAAGAAGGGAAACUUACGCUAAUACCGCAUACGACCUACGGGUGGAAGCUGGGGAUCUUCGGACGUUGCGCGAUUGAAUGAGCCGAUGUCGGAUUAGCUGGUUGGCGGGGUACAGGCCUACCAAGGCGAGGAUCCGUUGCUGGUCUGAGAGGAGGAUGCGCCACACUGGAAGUGAGCCGCGGUCCUGACUCUUACGGGCGGCACCGAUUCCUAAUAUUGGACAAUGGGCGGAAGCUUGAUCCAGCCGUGCCGGGUGGGUGAAGCAGGCCUUCGGGUGGUAAAGCCCUUUUGUGGGUAAAGAACAGCAUCAGGUUAAUCCACCGCUGUUGUGACGGUACCCAAUGAAGAAGCACCGGCUAACUUCGUG